GCCAGCCUGGUGUAGUGGUUUGAGUAUUGGACUAUGACUCUGGAGAACAGCGUUCGAAUCCCUGCUCAGCCA
rnacentral:tRNA from 1 species